AUCGAACGCUGGCGGCAGGCCUAACACAUGCAAGUCGAACGAGUGGCGGACGGGUGAGUAAGGUCUGGGAAACUGCCCGAUGGAGGGGGAUAACUACUGGAAACGGUAGCUAAUACCGCAUACCAUCGGAUGUGCCCAGAACGGAUUAGCUAGUAGGUGGGGUAAAGGCUCACCUAGGCGACGACACCUAGCUGGUCUGAGAGGAUGACCGGCCACUCUGGAACUGUACCCAGGUGCAGCCUCCUACGUGAGCCAGCAGUGGGGAAUAUUGCACAAUGGGCGAAAGCCUAAUGCGGCCAUGCGGGGGGUAUGUGGAGGCCCUUCGGGUUUUAAAGUACUUUCAGCGGGGCGGCGUUACCCGCAGAAGAAGCACCGGCUAACUCCGUGCCAGCAGCCGCGGUAAUAC
rnacentral:rRNA from 1 species